rnacentral:rRNA from 1 species
UGGGGAAUAUUGCACAAUGGGCGGAAGCCUGAUGCAGCGACGCCGCGUGGGGGAUGAAGGCCUUCGGGUUGUAAACUCCUUUCGACAGGGACGAAGCUUUUGUGACGGUACCUGUAUAAGAAGCACCGGCUAACUACGUGCCAGCAGCCGCGGUAAUACGUAGGGUGCGAGCGUUGUCCGGAAUUACUGGGCGUAAAGAGCUCGUAGGUGGUUUGUCGCGUCGUCUGUGAAAUUCCGGGGCUUAACUCCGGGCAUGCAGGCGAUACGGGCUGACUUGAGUGCUGUAGGGGAGACUGGAAUUCCUGGUGUAGCGUUGAAAUGCGCAGAUAUGAGGGGGACCACCGAUGGCGAAGGCAGGUCUCUGGGCAGUAACUGACGCUGAGGAGCGAAAGCAUGGGUAGCGAACAGG